UACGGGGGGGGCAAGCGUUGUUCGGAAUUACUGGGCGUAAAGGGCUCGUAGGCGGCCAACUAAGUCGGAUGUGAAAUCCCCAGGCUCAACCUGGGAACUGCAUCCGAUACUGGAUGGCUUGAAUUCGGGAGAGGGAAGUGGAAUUCCCGGUGUAGCGGUGAAAUGCGUAGAUAUCGGGAGGAACAUCAGUGGCGAAGGCGGCUUCCUGGCCCAAUACUGACACUCAGGUGCGACAGCGUGGGGAGCAAACAGG
rnacentral:rRNA from 1 species